UUGAACGCUAGCGGCAGGCUUAACACAUGCAAGUCGAGGGGUAUUGGUUUCGGACCAAGAGACCGGCGCACGGGUGCGUAACGCGUAUGCAAUCUACCUUUGCAGAGGGAUAGCCCAGAGAAAUUUGGAUUAAUACCUCAUAGUAUAGUACUUUGGCAUCAAGGAACUAUUAAAGUCACAACGGCAAAAGAUGAGCAUGCGUCCCAUUAGCUAGUUGGUGAGGUAAUGGCUCACCAAGGCGACGAUCUCUAGCUGGUUUGAGAGGAUGAUCAGCCACACUGGAACUGAGACACGGUCCAGACUCCUACGGGAGGCAGCAGUGGGGAAUAUUGGACAAUGGGCGCAAGCCUGAUCCAGCCAUGCCGCGUGUGUGAAGAAGGUCUUCGGAUUGUAAAGCACUUUAAGUUGGGAGGAAGGGUAGUAACCUAAUACGUUGCUACUUUGACGUUACCGACAGAAUAAGCACCGGCUAACUCCGUG
rnacentral:rRNA from 1 species